rnacentral:tRNA from 1 species
GGGCUCGUAGUUUCAUGGAGUUAAAAUUCCGUCUUUGACACACGGAGUAGCGGGUGCAAAUCCCGCCGAGUCCA